UGCGCGUUGGCGAGUGUUGCUACAUUCAACAGGCGCGAAAGCGUGAACGUACUCGAAGGCUAACGUCAUGGCAUGUAAACCGCACAGACAAGCGCUCUUCGUAAAAGCCGACGGUGGCCCCAUGUACUUUGAGAUGGUGCCCUGCCCGGAGCGAAAAGAGAUACGCCAGCUCAUACUCGAUGGAGGUGGUGUUCUCUUGCAGCCGGGCAAGAAUCCGAAUGCCGUUCACUUGGUUCCCUCUUCCAUCGGAACUACACAGGGCCCCGAGGAUGUGUUCUCCGCCAAUUACAUACGCGCUUGUUGCGGCAGCGACAAGCUCUUUCCUCUCAAGGAGUUCAAAAUUCCGAGAGCGCCAGAAUUCGUGGCAAUCGACAACGCGGACGACACCAAAGAGCGAAAACUGCGCUCGGUUCGCUCGAGAAGUGAGUACACUCUCGGCGAUCAGAUUGCGAUGGCCAAGUACGUGGCGAAGGCGCCCAACGUGCGCGUCCGUGGCAACCAGGUGUACAAAGAAAUGGCUACGGCCGGCGUAGUUCCCGGUGCUCAUUCAUGGCAAUCGUUGAAGGAGCAUUACCUGAAGAAAAUACUCCCCUGGAAACACCUGUACGAGUCUCCAGACGCGAGCAAACUCCUUGCCAGGAAUAAACACGCGCCACACGAUAAGCAGGACUGGCCUCGCCGUGAUUCGCUGAGCGACGCUUCAGUCAUCGUGGAAGACAGUAGCGACGACGAGGCUAAGCGACAGCGUGCUCCUCGCUGUGAAGCACAAAAAAACGAGGGGGACGCAGAAACUGAAGUGGUUCUGGAAACAGAGAGCCAAGGUGAUGCAUCGUCUUCGCAGAAGCACAACACACCAGCUGUGUGCCAACGUGGAAGAAGCAAAAUGAAACGUAAAACGCUAUUGCUUUCAUCUCCAUGCUUUCUCAGCACUCCCAAUACAAGCACUGGUGGGAGCCCCUCUAGGCACGAAAGUAGAAUCUCGGCACCGAAGAAGAAAAGCUCGGGCUGGCAAGUCCGUCAAAAGCGAAGCCGCUCCCGAGAAGUUUUUGCCCCCUCUGAGGACACAGAGUGAAAGGUCUCCUGGCAAGACCUCACGCGCUCAAACACAAUCCUCACCAUGGUAAACAAGACAGUGGCAUAAGAGAAGGUACGCAAACCGCCGGAAAACUGGAGACCAUUGCGAAGCGAAAACAAAAACCACGAUCAUCUUCGAGGAAGGCCAGAAGUGCAAAACGGCAAGGGACACCUACCGAUGAUCACGCUGAACAGGAAAAGUACACGAGUGCUAAUGUUCGCAGUGUAUUAUGCACCAAUCUCCCUGACAAGCUGAGUGUUUUGGAAUGUGGUGAGCAGCAGAGUGCCGAAUCGUCGCCGCAAAAGGAAGUCCACAGCGCAACCUUUUCUAAACAUUCCAGUGGCUCUCCCAGACCCUCACAGCAUUUGCAGAAUACUAACCUCAGUGCCUCGGAAGAGCAGGCACCCUGUGCCAGCGAGCUCAGGUCCUUUCGGUCGCCUGUGAGAAAGGAACGAAGCAUUGGUUCCCAAGCGAAGCUUAGCAGUUGCUUGAGCGCUCUGCUUUUGUCCGAAUCAAGUGACGUCACUGACGCGGCAGUGCACUGAAUCUCCGCGCAAGCGAGCUUCCCAUAGAAGGAGGUCCUCGAGAUUCUCACGAAGAAAACAGCGACGUGUAGCAGCACAGCAGGGUAAUCUCAAUGACCGCUUGGGUGAACUGGUACACUCAGAAUCGACUGGCGAUGGCAUCAUUAUAACCAAUGCCUUACGUUCUUCAACAGAGUCCGUGUACAACACGGCAGAGAGUGAGGGCACAACUCAAGGCACCAAGCGUACGAAAAGAAGUGGGAGAAGUGUCCUCUCGCCACCAAAAGUGUCGGACACUGCUGCGUUACGUAAAAAUGAUGCAACAUUGCCUGCUAGCGAGGAUCAUUUCGUGAGGAGCACCCGCUGGAGUGCCAGCUACGAAAAGAAACGGAAAUCUGUGCAAGGUGCUGCCCAUGAGACAUCGGGUUUUGACAGUGCGGAUGAGUCCCUUCUGAAGAGGUUUGUGGAACAGGUGUCCGCAUGUCAUGUCACUGCCAUGGAUGACUGUGCUGCACAAGAUGAUGCAACCACACUUUCGUUUUCGAGUGAUGGCGGACUAUCCGACGACGAGUUGACUCCGGAGCUCGGAGAGCCUUCCAAGCGCGACAAAAUGGAUGAGGCGCAGCGGGAGCUUUCUAGGCUUCUCGGCAUCCUAAGAGCAGGAAAGAACUCGUCGCCACACGCAACGUGCCCGCCGCAGUGCACAUGCCCCCUCACGAGCCGGUACGCCCAGGUCGCUAGGGCAGCCGUAUCGCUCGGUGCCGUUCUGGCCUACCACGGCAUACCGCUUCCGUCGGGGGGAGCGACCCACCCUGCCGUGGCCAUGGCACUAGAACUGCUUUUGCGUCACUUGGAACGAAAUGCUGACGGUGGCAGUGGUUCAAAGUGAGCUGUGCUUCUUCCCCACCAUCAGCUCAGUGACAAAGGCGUCAUUAUGUGACGCCAUACUGUAAAGUUUGUAGACAAUCUUCGGGGACAGUGCGAUACUGAACGCACCGUGCACAGUAUUGUGUGCAUGCAACACCCUGAAAAACUAGUGCACGCAGUUUUGGUGGCGGCGAUGAACUUAAAUUUAAGUAUAAUGUAUUGUACAUUGUAUGCCUUCAUUUGAAGAAAAAAAGGAAAGCUUUGUUUGAAAGCUGUCAACUACCUCAUUGCACUGAAGCUUUAGUUUUGAUGUUUUUAUUUUUCUUUAUAUUCUUAUUCGUAUAAGGAUUUUACAGUAUGAAUGGCUUAUACUUUUUUUGCAAAGGAAAUUGACCAGGCCUUUUUUGCAUUGAACAAAAUAAACUUAGGUUUCUAGUUUCUAAAGCAGAACAAAACUAAAGAAACACUAUGUUGAAAAGAAUGUUCACUAUCAGGUAAUGACCUCGCCAACGUUUUAUUGCUCAUGUUAGGGCACAUGUCGCAAUCACAAUUUUGCAGAAGUAGUAGUGAAGCUAAGUCUUCAUUACAGAAAUCUUAAAACAAGCACCAGUCUCAAGAUACACAACCUUAAAAUGUGCCAAAUGCGUCGUUGGCAUUCUGGUUAAUCUUUCUAGCACUGCGAUUGUUAAAAUUUAGGACAACCUUGAAGGGCUAUGCUGCUCUUUGAAAACUCUUUAAAAACCGAUUCUCGAUUGAUUUUGUAGAAGCUUGUUGAGUUUAGUUAUGUACAUUUAUGUGAUCUCUUAUGUUCUAGUUUAUUGUUUUUAAAACAUCAAACAUGUCAUGUACUUUUUUGGGAGGGGGGGGCAGAAGUGAGAGAAUUGCAAAAUUGAUCAGCAUGUCAUAAUAAUUUGGAAGAAGGGCUGCAUGCAAGAAAGCAAAAAAAGAUUUUAUACGUCCAUUUAAUACAAACCUAUUCUGUUUUAAAAAUUCGCAAGUCAAAUCCCAGCCUGAAAUGAACCGACUCAUGAAAGUUCCAAAUACUGCAACCUUUGUUCAAGGAGGCUUUGAGAAUACGUCCUUUAUUGCACACAGUUCUGAUUGCAGAAUAUCAUUACAUGCUGGUCUACUUAGCCAUUCUUUCAGUUAACAAAAAAUGAACACUAUGAACACUAAUUGCCUUGAGUUGCUCCUCAUUCGUUAGUUACAAAGGGUCGUGUAAUUGGGUCUGGUAUCAAGUUGUGCACAAACAUUCACUGUGAAAGCAUUAAGUUUUUCGUGGUGAGGAAAAAGCGGUGCCGUCCGUACCCAUUUGUCAAUUGUUGCUAUCGGAGUGAGUGUAGAUACACUGUAGAUACAGAUAAGUAAUUAGCCUUUAUUUUUAGGAAUAAAGCUCCUUAUGGCAUGGC